GAAGAGGCAACCAUUGUAUCUGCGGCCGGAGGAUUAGAAGAUAAACUUUUAUUGCUCCCUUUUGUGCAUGUGUGUGUGCAUGUGUGUGUGUUCAAAUGGAGAAGUCUUUUCUCAGAGGGGAAAAUCCUUUCAGGCUCCCUGUGGAGUGUGCAGUUCAAAGAGGAACUCAAGAGUGGUUUGUCUGAUCCAUGAAGUGACCAGGUGAGGAGAAACGACCCCUCUCCUCUCACUCUUCCUCUCUCAGUUUUGAAAUCAUUCUUUCCCCACUGCCAUCACCCUCCCAUCCUUCCCCUACCCAACCCUCCCCUUCCCUGCACUGAGUGAAUGGAAGAGUCUCCAGGGUUUUCUUCUGCUUCUCGCCCUGGACUGGGGGAGUGAGAGGACAUCUCUCUAUCCUCAUCCAUCUCUAUCUCUCUCCAUCCAUACCCGAAAGGAUUUGAGACGGUGCAAUGUGUUUUCAUCCUCUUGCCGCUGCAACCACUUGAUACUAUGCAAGGCGCAGGGAGAGGGCUUUGCAAAAUGGAUUUGUUCGAUUUUAUAGGAUUUCUUCUCUAAUAAGGAUCGCAUUGCACACAAAUAUGACUAAAUCCCCUAUUUGGUAAAUCUUUCUUCCCCCCACCCCUCCUCUUUGGAUUCCCUCCCGCCCACCCCCACCCCUUCAGAGGAGCAAGCACAGGGAGCUGAUGACGGACCCAUUAAUCCCUUCUUCAAUGCAUCAAAAGAAGCCGAAGGGUUGGAAGUCGCUGGGCUCGGUGUCCUGCAGGAAAUGCUUCGAUCUGCUUUUGGUUUUGUAUGAAACUGGUGACUAGGGUCUCGGCUCGCCCCGCCGCCGCCCGCCGGCACCUGGAUGCGCGGGUCGCCGCCGCCGCCGCCGCCGCCUUGCCCGCCGCCGCGAUGCAACGCUUCUGGAGGUGCUGCCGGUAGCUCGGGUGCGAUGGGAGCGAGCCGGCGGUGAUUAGUGGAGGGCGGCGAGGGAGAGCGAGGGAGAGGAAGGGCUGCUCCGCUCUGCUGUGUGUGGGCUUCAGGAUUUUUUUUCGUCUUCUUCUUUUCCUACUUCCAUCCUCUCCCCGCCACUGGAAGUCCUCCCGUAUCUAAAUGGAAUUAGUGGAGACCGAAGCCCCUUGUGUAAGGCACAGACAUGACCCAUGGGCGCAGCUUCUUUCACAUUGUAGCAAGUCUAAUCAUCCUACAUUUGUCUGGGGCAACCAAAAAAGGAACAGAAAAACAGACUACUGCCGAAGGACAGAAACCAGUGCAGUGUGGAACUUGGACAAAAUAUGCAGAAGGAGGCAUCUUCACUUCUCCCAAUUAUCCCAACAAGUAUCCUCCUGACAGAGAGUGUGUCUACAUUAUUGAAGCUGCCCCUAGACAAUGCAUUGAACUACACUUUGAUGAAAAAUAUUCCAUAGAACCUUCUUGGGAGUGUAAAUUUGACCAUAUUGAAGUACGAGAUGGACCUUUUGGCUUUUCCCCAAUCAUUGGACGUUUCUGUGGACAGCAAAAUCCACCUAUGAUAAAAUCCAGUGGCAGAUUUCUGUGGAUUAAAUUUUUUGCUGAUGGUGAGCUGGAAUCUAUGGGAUUUUCUGCUCGAUAUAAUUUUACACCUGAUCCCGAUUUUAAGGACCUUGGAGUUUUGAAACCAUUGCCAGGAUUCAUUUUUCUGCUAUUUUGUUAUUUAGUUUGUGAGUUUGAGAUGGGAGGACCUGAAGGAAUUGUGGAAUCUGUACAAAUUGUCAAAGAAGGAAAAGCUUCUGAAACUGAAGCAGUAGACUGUAAAUGGUACAUCAGAGCACCACCCAGAUCCAAGAUAUACUUGCGAUUCUUGGACUAUGAGAUGCAGAAUUCCAAUGAAUGCAAAAGGAAUUUUGUCGCUGUUUAUGAUGGAAGCAGCUCUGUGGAGGAUUUAAAAGCGAAGUUUUGCAGCACUGUUGCUAACGAUGUGAUGCUGCGGACAGGUCUCGGUGUGAUCCGCAUGUGGGCAGAUGAAGGCAGUCGAAGCAGCCGAUUCCAGAUGCUCUUCACAUCUUUCCAAGAACCCCCUUGUGAAGCCAACACAUUCUUUUGCCACAGUAAUAUGUGUAUUAAUAAUACAUUGGUCUGCAAUGGACUCCAGAAUUGUGUGUAUCCUUGGGAUGAAAACCACUGCAAAGAAAAAAGAAAAGCUAACCUAUUGGACCAACUUACCAAUACCAGUGGGACCAUAAUUGGGGUGACGUCUUGCAUUGUUAUCAUCCUCAUUGUUAUCUCUGUGAUAGUACAGAUCAAGCAGCCUCGUAAAAAAUUUGUCCAAAGGAAAACAGACUUUGAUCAAACGGUGUUCCAGGAGGUGUUUGAGCCUCCUCAUUAUGAGUUAUGCACCCUCAGAGGGACAGGGCCUACAGCUGACCUUGCUGAUGUUGCAGAUGACUUUGAAAAUUAUCAUAAACUGCGGAGAUCAUCUUCAAAAUGCAUUCAUGACCAUCACUGUGGAUCACAAGUGUCUAGCACUAAGGGCAGCCGUAGUAACCUCAGCACAAGAGAUGCUUCUGUCUUGACAGAAAUACAACCCCAACCUGUAAAACCACUCAUUCAGCCCAUGAACAGGAGAAAUAUCCUUGUCAUGAAGCAUAGCUACUCACAAGAUGCUGCAGAUGCGUGUGAUAUAGAUGAAAUUGAAGAGGUACCAACCACAAGCCACAGGCUGUCCAGACAUGAUAAAGCUGUUCAGCGCCAUAACAUUCCAGGUUCUGCCUCAUUGGGUCUCUAAGCAAACAUGAGUCUGAGUACAACACAACUAGGGUCUAGGAGACAAACCUGAGAUAAUGGAAGAUUGCUGUGAAAUCCUGCUUUAUCCCAGGCAGCAGGCAGCAGGACACCACAACUGUGAGUACUGACUGUGCAGUGAUCUGCAAAGGACUUAGCAGCUGCUUAUACAAGUGUAGGCAGACAAGAAUUUAAUGGGAGUAUAGGGGCAUUCUUGUGAUGCCACAUGCAACAAAUAGCUCUGCAAUAUCUACUUAUUUAAUCCUUUUAAGCUUACCUUUCUUCAGUCCAUCCUCCUCAGCUUCAAUGAAAGACACAGUACACACAAUAAACUAUUUUUGAAACGGUGGCUUCACUGGAAAGUAGUCAUUUGGCAUUUAAUUGUAUUCAUAUAUGAAAGACAACAAUGGUGCUUGCUGAAGCUAUUGUAAAACAAAAAUAUUUGGAGUUUUUGCACAGAUCCUCAAUACAAGUUAAAUGAACCAUUCAGCUACAACAACUGCAUCAGUAAAGGAGGACACCUUGCAUCGGAGAUUUUUCUAAUAGAGCUGCAUGACCUAUUCACAUCAUCCCUCUUGAUCCUACUUUUCUCUCUUCAGUUAAAAUUUUAAUUAGGAAAAAGCAGUUUGUUGGAAGUGAAAAACUUUCACUGCCUUUAGUGAGGAACAGAAUGCAAUUUACAUUGGGGAAGGAGAGCUUCAUUCCAUGAUUUUUUUCUUAGUGUUAAAGGACUUUUCAAAGUCAGCGAAGAUAUAGGUGAGCUGCUCUUUCCCUUUGUUUAACAAAUCAGUGAUUCAAAGAAACGGUAAUGCUUUAUGCUUAACUAACCCCUGUAAGGUAGAAAAGUAAAUGCCUUUCCAAGUUUUUCACUCCCACAUUUUACUGGAUAUUUUGGUAUAGAAAAUGCACUUGGGGUGGUUUUGUUCGAUAUUCUAAAUGUUAUCUGGCACCUACUUAGACCAAGGUUGAAGAAAUUUCUCCUGCAGGCAAAAGUGUAAUGUAUUAUUUCUUUACUAAGUUUCAUGACAGAGGCCCAGAGACUUGUGCCAUCAUUUGAGAGUAACUUUAGUGACAUAAUGGAUCUUGUUUACUUUCAGUGUGUUGGUGGAAAGUCUUCACCAACCUAGGCAAAUACUGAAUAUUUUGAGAUAGCUAUUAAUAAUAUAAACUUUUAGCAAUAAUGUAACUAUAGCAUCUCCAUUGGUAAUGUCAUCACCACUUUGGUGACAUAAAAAGAGAAGUGACAUUAACUUCAAGAAAUUUCAGUUCUUAUCAGAAGGGAGCAAAAAUGAUGUGACAUCAUAAGUAUUUUAAGAAGUGUGAUUUUUCUCCCUAAAUUCAUCUAAGAUUCUUAGUUUUAGUCCUCCUCUACCUUUCCUGAUAUAUAGACAUGCUUAUGUCAAUUGGGUGACUCAAAAGAAAAAUAAAAAAA